GCCUUGUAGGCACAGUUGGUAGUGCUUCAGUCUCAUAAUCUGAAAAUUGUGAGUUUGAUCCUCACACAGGGCA